rnacentral:rRNA from 1 species
GCUUAUGGCCACACCGCCUGGUAUACGCUUGAUCUCGGAAGAUAAGGUAGGUUGGGCCUGGUUAGUACUUGGAUGGGAGACCGCCUGGGAAUACCAGGUGCUGUAAGCU